CGCCCGGCAGGGCAGCGCCCUCCGCCCCUGAGGGACAGCGCGGCCGCCGAAGGGGCGAUCUGGCGCCGGGAGUCAAGUUGGGCGGUCCCCGCAGCGCUGGGGAGCAGUAGAGACUUUGGGUUUAUCUUCUCCUUUUUGAGCCCUGAGGAAACACUUGAAGAGGGGCAGAAAGGGCCGUGAGGAGAGCUCCGGGCCGAGGCAGGGCUUGCUGAGCACGCGGAGUGCGGUAGAGAUAGCAAAUCUGAGUUUGGAGUCACCUUCACUUCAAUAUUCUAGAGCUACAGAAUGAAGAAGAUCCUUAAAGAAACCACUGUUUGGAAUUUGACCACUUGUAUGUGCUCAUGUUCUGGUCCGUCUUGGAAAAAAAAUUGGAAGGUCCACAGUUUGUUCCAGACCAGAAUGCAGCUACAUGCUUGAAGUUCCGAAUUUUUCUCAAAUAGUUUUUUACUGUCCAGCCUCAACUGUACAAAUAAUAGUUUAAAUACAAUGGCUUUUAGUGCUUUUAGCCUUUAAAUACCAUUCAUCUUGGUUUCACUCUGCCUUUUCUGGGACAUAUGCAUAUCAUGUUUGUCCUACAUCUGUUACCCAGAUGAACAAUGCCAUGGGAUGUAUGACUCACCUAAUGGCUUGAAAUUCUGGCACCAUGUUAUUGGUUACAAUAGGUGGGGCUCUAUGCACUCAAAACCAAAAAAUGUGUGUUUGAACAAUAAAAUGUUUGGGGCUUGUUUGGCUGUGUUUAGGUUUGCACAUUGCGCACAUAUUGACCCCAAUUAAAUUACGAAGAAGAGAAUAUCCAUUAAAUAAGUUAUUAAAACUACUACAGAACUUGUCAAAUGAAUGACUGUACAAACAGUGGAGCUGUUUCUUAGGGAUUAGAGAAAAUCUGGACUGUUCCCAGACAAAAUCCAGUUGAGGUAAGAUAAGAUAAGAACUGUUCAUUGGAUCUUCAAAGCCUAAAGGAUUGUGGAAAAUAUUAAAUUGAAUAAGUUCUGUGAAUUGUUAAUUUUUCACUUCUGUGAAGCAGCUUAUAUCAAUGUAAAGUCAAGCAUGGGAGAAUUAUGUCUAUAUAAGACUGAAAACAGUGG
ensembl:lncRNA